AUUCCAGCUCCAAUAGCGUAUAUUAAAGUUGUUGCGGUUAAAAAGCUCGUAGUUGGAUUUCUGCUGAGGACGACUGGUCCGCCCCCUGGGUGAGCAUCUGGUUCGGCCUGGGCAUCUUCUUGGGGAACGUAUCUGCACUUGAUUGUGUGGUGCGGUAUCCAGGACUUUUACUUUGAGGAAAUUAGAGUGUUUCAAGCAGGCCCGCGCCUUGAAUACAUUAGCAUGGAAUAAUAAGAUAGGACCUCGGUUCUAUUUUGUUGGUUUCUAGAGCUGAGGUAAUGAUUAAUAGGGACAGUCGGGGGCAUUUGUAUUCAAACGACAGAGGUGAAAUUCUUGAACUGUUUGAAGACAAACUACUGCGAAAGCAUUUGCCAAGAAUGUUUUCAUCG
rnacentral:rRNA from 1 species